AGCAUCAUAGUCUGAGACCCCGAAACUAGACGAGCUACUCCGAAGCAGUCUAAAAGGACUAACCCGUCUCUGUGGCAAAAGAGUGGGAAGACUUCCGAGUAGAGGUGAAAAGCCUACCGAGCCUAGUUAUAGCUGGUUGCUUAAGAAAAGAAUAUGAGUUCAGCCUUAUAAGUUUCUCAAAAAUCAAAAUGAAAGAAUAAAGUAACACAUAAGAGUUAGUCGAAGGGGGUACAGCUCCUUCGAAAAAGAACACAACCUUACCCAGGUAAAUAAGGAUUAUACUAAAAAAGGACAUGACUUUCAACAGUGGGCCCGAAAGCAGCCACCUCUAAUAGAAAGCGUUAAAGCUCAAGAACAGCCACACCAAAAAUAAAAAUAACCACUCCUAAUUUCCUAAUAAUAUUAAGCUACCCUAUUUUAUAGGAGAAAUUAUGCUAAAAUGAGUAAUAAGAGAAACUAGACCCUCUCCGGGCACACGUGUAAAUUAGAGCGGACAAACCACUGACAACUAACGGACCCAAAAAAGAGGGUAAAACAACAAAACUCAAUAAACAAGAAAAACCUAUUAAAACAACCGUUAACCCAACACAGGAGUGCCACUUAAGGAAAGACUAAAAGGGGAAGAAGGAACUCGGCAAACACAAACCUCGCCUGUUUACCAAAAACACCGCCUCCUGCAAAUAGAAUGUAUUGGAGGUCCUGCCUGCCCAGUGACAAUAGGUUCAACGGCCGCGGUAUUUUGACCGUGCAAAGGUAGCGUAAUCACCUGUCUUUUAAAUAAAGACCUGUAUGAAUGGCAAGACGAGGGUUUUACUGUCUCCUCCCCCCAGUCAAUGAAAUUGAUCUACCCGUGCAGAAGCGGGUAUAAAAACAUAAGACGAGAAGACCCUAUGGAGCUUUAGGCACACAUCAAAUAUGUAAAAAACCAAAUCUUCCAAAUAGGCCUAAAAAAUGAGAAAAACAAGUAUUAAUGAUUAAUUGCCUUCGGUUGGGGCGACCACGGGGAAAAAUAAAACCCCCACAUGGAAUGGGUAAAAUUAUCCUAAGCCAAGAAAAACAAUUCUAAGCAACAAAAUUUUUGACCAAUAAACGACCCAGGGACAACAUCCCUGAGCAAUGAACCAAGUUACCCUAGGGAUAACAGCGCAAUCCUUUCCCAGAGCCCAUAUCAACGAAAGGGUUUCUCGAUGUUGGAUCAGGGCAUCCUAACGGUGCAGCCGCUGUUAAGGGUUC
rnacentral:rRNA from 1 species